GUGAACUCUUUGCACAUGUUCUUUUACAAAAGAGAGGUUUUCAGUCAAUGCAUUUGUGAAAGAUUUGCAUUGCAAAGACACUGACAAGGAGGAGCCCAAUUUAAAAAAAAAAAAAAAAGGGAUUUUGAAGGAAGCAAGUAUUUAAAGCUAGAUGGCCUUUUGCUUUCAUAAAAUUGGUGAAAUUUAGUUCACUCUGAAAUUUGGUCAUGUGAUGCAUGUUUAUUUCUGCAAUAUCUAAAAAAAAAAAAACAAACAAACAAAAAGAACCCCCAGGCCAUUCUGUGGCUGGGAAGUUAUUUAAUUUGAGGGGAUUCCCUCGCAAAUAAUGUGCAUGAAAUCGCUCACUUCGCACAGUCAAGCAGACAGAGGAAGUCCGGUGUGCGCAUGCGCAGGUUUACUUGCUGCUUCUUCUUUUGGGUUUUACGGCAGCUGGCAUUCAGUGUUGCAUUACUGCCAUCUGCAGGUUUACCUUGACCUGCACUGACAGUUACAUCAUUCUGUCGCUAAACAAACAGCUGAUCCACCGAGGUGUUCGCUGGGCGCCGAUAUUUAUUAGUUUAGUCCUGCGUUUCCUUUCCUUUGCAACAUAACGUCUUUUCUUCUCACUUUCCGUUACUGUAGUCCGUCUUUCACGUUUCUUCCAUUUUCCUUUCCUGUUUCACAUUUGUAUCCCACACUGUCUUGCGUGAACGGGGAAAAGCCCAACACAUGAUGCAUGAUCUUGAAUUGGGUCAUGACUGUAGGUACAGUUAACCUGGGCCUGCCCAUCCUAAGUGUGACGCAACACGGGGGCCUGUUGCGAACUUAGUCUGGCAAGGCAAGCUAUCUCCAGCUCUUCCAAGCUCCCGAAAAAUCGGGAGCCAAUCAACUUUGAGCAUCUCCAACGGCCCUGGGUAGAGGCGUGUUCAAGGCAGUGAUGUAGUAGAACUGCGACCGGAAGCCAUAGAUUGUUUACAGAAUCUAUGCCGGAAGCGCUUCAUUCACUAGAAACAUUACGAACAUGGAGCAGCGGCAAGCCUUUGACACAGCGGUAGAUGCUGUAUUGAAAGCAUUCAACGGGAAGUUCUCAUUGAAAACGGAGCAAAGAGCAGCCCUGGAGGUAUUUAUCUUCUUCCUGUUACUCAAGCAGUUUCCAUCGCGUCACAUGCGUCAGAGGAAAGAGUGAUGUGAUUGGUUUAAGCUUCGUCACAGCCUUUUCUGGCUUCGACCAGUAGCAAACUGAGGCAUUUCAGGGAGGCGGGUCAACCAUGCGCUUUGGGAAACGGUUGGGCUUAAUAUCUUUGCCAGACCAAUGCUCGCAGAGCUUUGAAGUUGCGUUAGCCAGACUAAGGUACAGUCCCUUUAAGAACUACAUUUCCCAUCAGCCAACUUCCGCGUUGACCUAUGUCACGCCUGGGCGGGAUCACCUACGUCACUUCCUCCCGGAGCUCAUAAGUAACUGAGCAACGCUUCCUUCUUCCUCUUUCCGUCUUGGACUUCAAGCCGUCCGGACACAGAGAUACUCACCCGAGCAAACCAGAUAAAGAUGUCUUUUCUUUCUUGCAAGAUCCACGAUUUAGCGCGAUUUCUUUGUUUACCACUGGCCCCGGUAAAAAUCCAGAAUCGCGCGACUUUAAACUCCGAUAGAGUUACAACCGGUUUUGUUUGUAUAUUAUCAGUAACGUUACGUACGACUGCAGCCCAAGCAGUUAAUUUAAAGAGUUAGAAGCGACCGGAUCCUUCUAAUUAAAGCGCUGUGCACAUUAUUCUGAUCAGAGACUCUCUUCAUCACGAGCGACCACGCGUCGGACCAAGAAAUCCUCUGCUUUCUACAGAAGCGACUCACGUGCUCCACAACGGUGAAACUCCAAAAGUCUUGGAACAUCUCAUAAUCUCGCGUAGAGACGAGAUACUGAAGUAAGACUGGCAUUUGGGCAUAAAACUAGUCUUAGGAAUUAGCUUUAUUGAAGUAGUGUGAAUUUAAACUCAGGAAUGGUUUAAUUGUUUACACUGUAGACACGCAGAGUGUCAAAUGGAUGAUUGUUCUAUUUUGUUUUAAUCUCUCAAUUGUUUGAUAGGCUGUGCAUGCUUCUCUAUUCCUUACUAACAUCCUCAAUUUCCUUAUUACACAUUUUGACCUCAUCAAGAUUUCAGUGGAUGUAGUAGUGUUAUGAGCUAGUGGGUUAGCUACCGGCUAGUCCUUUGUUACUUAGAAACACGUGGCCACAGGCCUCACAACACACCUUAGCUAAACACACGGCUAAUUCCUUUAUCUCGUUAGCAAGCUAGGCUAACCUUUUGCUUAGGCCACACACAAACGCACCUUAGCUAGCAAUCCAUGCUAACUUUUUGUUCAGGCCACACACAGGCUAACUCUUUGUCAGGCCACGUGGACAAACACACCUUAGCUAGCAAUCCAUGCUAACUCUUUUGUUCAGGCCACACACACAGGCCUCACAAACGCAUCUUAGCUAGCAUUCCUUUGUCUUAGCUAGCGACACAAGGCUAAUCUGUGUCUCCACACGUGGCCAACACAUUGCAAUUAGCGACCAAAGCUAACUCUCUUGCUGUACUUAGAAACACGUGGUCAUAAGGCCUCCCUGUCACACACACGCACACGCACACACAUACCAUAUCAUAUUUGUAUAUAAUGAUUCCAACUGAUAUUAUCCAUUUUUAUCUUUGUUAUAAUAAAUUAAUUUAUUAUUGAAACUGUGUUUAUUUGUGUUCCGAUGUUUUUGAAGUCGCCCAACCUCAAAGAAUUCCAAGGUGCAUAUGAGUUGUGUAAUACGGUAAGGGGUCAUCCAUAAUUUUCAUCAUUAUCUUGAGUCUACAAAGAGUAGACUUUUGAGCAACCCCCCUCCCUCCCCCUCCCCCAAAAGUGUACAUUAGCGGACAAAAAAAUGAUGGAUCUACGUGGAAUAGGAAUUCAAAAUAAAACCAUGUCUUGUAUUACUUUUUAUUAAAAUUGGAUGACAGGACAAUACAAAGAUUCACAAGAGAAGAAAAGAAGACACAAGACGGUUCUAGAAGUUUUCAUAGAAAGCAGGCAAUUCAUUUUACAGUCCCCCCAGGAUUUUGCGGGACUUAUUUGUGAUUGUCGCGGGCUAAAAUGUCUGAUGUUGUGGGGGGUUUUCCAAAAAAUUGCGAUGAAAGUUGCGGUGUUUUUUAGGUUUUUGUUGCGAUUACAUUGCGGGAGGAAGUGAAAGUUGCGAGAAAUUGUUGCGAUUUUCUCUUUUUGUGAUUAAAAUUGAGUGAUAUGUUAAAUAUUAAGUUAUUACUGAAAAACUACUGAUUAAAAAAACAAAGACACUGAGAAAUGGUCCUAUAAACAACUUUAUCAAUAUAAAAGAUUACCAGGACUACAAAAAUGCAGAAAAAUAGGCUUUACUUAUCCAAAUGCACCUGUUGGUUCAAAAGUUAAAGUGCAGAGAACCUCACAGCACAACAUGAAGUUACCUUAAAAUAUAAAUGCCUCAGCUUUCAUGUAAGAAAAAACACUAUUAAUACUAGUACUGUGUGCAGGCAGUCUCUCCUGAAGACUAAAUUAAACAAUUAUAAACUAAUAAAAUAAAUAGCUCAGGCUUCAUAGAAGAAAAAACAAUUUGAACAGAAUCUCACAGUAUGAUGCUGAAGCUGCCUAAACAAUGGAAAAUAAAAUACCAUUUUGGCAAAAAUGUAUUAAAUGUAUUAAUCAGUAGUUUUUGGCAAAAAUCCAUUAAUUUCUUGUAUUAAGUAAAAAAAAAAAUAAUGUAAAGUACACAGUCCUUCACUGCAAACAUAACACACUUUCAGUAACAGAAUUUAAGCCUACAUAAACACUGACUCGCACAUGCUGCUUCUCUUGAACGUAUACAUGGAAGUAAGCAGCGUUGCCAGAUACUGCUGACGUUUUCCAAGCCCAAAAUAUGUUCAAAACUCGCCAAAAUGCACUUGAAACCCCCCAACUGGACGGGAAACCGCCCAGUCUGGCAACACUGGAAGUAAGGCGGAAGGUAGUUUGUCAACGUCACCUCAAGAUGACACCAACGGUUGGUCAAAUUUGCGGGAAAGUUUCGGCGAUUGGGUAUAAUUGCAACACCGCCCUGAAUUCGCAAAUCGCAACAUCCUGGAGGGUCUGAUUUUUGAAAAUUAGGAACUGUCUUUUUAAGGGGAGCUGUUGCCUUUUGGCUUUGAAACAUUCGUUUUUGAUUCUUUCCAAGCAGCCUGUCCUGCCCUAACUGCCUCCUCUCAGAUGAAUGCAGGAAACAAUAAAUGUUUAAAAACUGCUCGUACUCGUUUGAAGGAGUCUUGUGAAUAGCGGUAUUUCUGCUAUUCACAAAUUUAUAAACGCAGUCAAAAUCUGGGUCAGCCAUUGUUGUUGUAUUGAAGAAAGAAAGCGUGUAGAGCUAGCUGGCAAGACCGAUGUGGCGCGAAAUUUUUAAUAUGGCGGCCGCCGAUUCGCACAUUGACGGAUCAUCAUUUUUUCAUUUUAAAAAGUGUACGCCUGGUCAUUAACCCCCUCCCCCCAGCGUACGGUUUGUACGCUCGUGAUAAUGAUGAAAAUUAUGGAUGACCCCUAAGUGAUCAUAAUAAUUUGGAAUAUACCAUAAUUUAGCUGUUUGGUAAUGUAUUAUUAAGCACUAAAAUUAAUGGUAUUAAUUAAUGAGACUGAUUCCAUGAGUGAUUUGAUUCAAUGAGACUGAUUUAAUGAGAUUGAUCACUUAAUUACCAAUUGCACCUAUAGUUAAAUUGGUGCCCCAUGUGAGGCGAUUGGUGUUGACUUCUUGAAUAUUGUUGCAACAACAGAUAAACUCUCAGUUUGAUUCAGCAGUUGCCAAGGAAUAUCCCCAGGUGUGUUAGACGGUUAACAGUAGCGUGAUAACCAUAUCACAAAAUACUAAUAACCUAUUCUUAACUUAGGAUAAGAGAGAGCAUUUCCAAACAAACUUUAUCAAUUGAUUAAUUAAUUACCUAAUAGCCAACCUAAGCAAACUGGCAUCCCCUCAUGUCUCAAAAAUUGAAGACAAUGCUCAAGACGUGUCUCUGCUUGAGGUCAUUGCAGACCUCAUUCACUGCUCUGCCUCCAAAAAGGCAAACAUUAGGAACACGAGUAAGAGUGAAUGCCAAAACAACAUAGACAACUCGAAUAAACAUAGAGAUCCAAAAAGAACAACCAUUGGUGUCCAAGUAAGCUAUUCCUGUCAUACUUCCGAGAUACUGAUUCAGAAAUCAGACGCCUCCGCAGAGAGGUUGAAAGGCUGACCACCAGCAAUGCCGAGCUGGCAGCCGAUAAUAAUGAUUUAUAUAGGGAGUGUGAGCUCUUGAAGAACUCCCUUGAUUGCGCCAAAAGGCUAGAGAAAGCUGAAAUGGCUGCCAAGAGGGCUGCCGAGGAGCAGACCCCCCAAGAAGAGUGCGAGGGGCGUGAAAGACCCCCCAACAAUGCGCCGAAGCUCAGAGCGGGAGGAGGCGUCUGAACCGGAUACCGUAGAUUACCUGGUCGAGGACCAGACACCCCGCCAAACUCCAUCAACUCGCUACACGACUUCGUUUAGCCAGGGUGGAGCUGUACUGUGCUCAUCCCGAGCCCAGGACCCUAGCACACCCAGGUCAGUGUGCUACAUUACCCCUGAUCCAUCUUUGGAUGAAUCAGGCUAUGAAUCUAGUGCGAAAUGGGAGCAACACCAGAGUAACUUAGAUAGUGAGUACUCAAGAGAGCCAAGGAGGUCGCACAAGGGUGUGCACCAAACUCUUCGCUUACGGCAAAUUGACCUACUUGGCAACGAUGUUGAGCGAUUUGAUCCUGAGAAUAAAAGAACAAAUGUAAAUGAUUAUUUACAAGAAAUUGGCCGAUGCCUGAUGGACCUACCGAAAGCCACAAUGCAAGAGAAACUCAAACUGAUUUGGAAGACCUCCAGUAGCAGCGUUCGCGCCUUUUUAGAGACGCUACCCCCAAACAUUCGCGAUAGUUAUUCGAAACUUCGCAAUUACAUGAGGGAAGAAUAUGCGCCGUACACGGACGAAACCUCCGCGACAUUGUGUGCAAUACAGAUUAAACAUAAACGGUCUGAGGCGCCUCGUGAAUAUUAUAGAUGGCUACAUACUGCCUAUUUCCAGGGUAGUAGCGCACCAGGCUUGGAAGAAGAUAGAGGCUUCAAAUCCCUCUUCUUACAUAACCUCCACCCAAGCGUGCGGACUCAAGUCGCACUGACGUGUCAACAGGGUGUCCACUCGAUGAGGGAAAUUAGGCAACUAGCCCAAAUGACCUGGGAGACCAUUGUCAAAACCGCAAACGGAAACGAUGAUGAACCUAGAGUCCUUAGUCUCCAAGGUGAGGACAAGCCCCCGCUAGCCCUAGAAGGAGGCGAAGCUCCAAAAGGGGGACCCCCUGGAGAAAUCCCGGUCCGAACCGCCCCUUGCCGAGCCAUCACCAGGGUGAGUGGAAGAAUCGGCAAGGUAAGGUCAGGAGGGACCGAGGGCAAGUCCACAAUGACCAUGGCAACCGGCCAUCAUGUGAAAAGGGUCGUAGGGAGCAAGGCGGUUGGCAGCAAGACCGUCAUCCCCGCUCUGGCCAGAGACGGCAGGAGCGCUCCGACUGUAGCUCUAAACGUAGGGGUACAGAUGACCGACACAGUGACUCAGACCAACCUGGUGAGUUCCGCUCAGAGCUGGAUUCUUUAAAAGCCCAGUUGGCUGAGAUUAAAGAACUGUUACAAAAGAGGUCCGACCCCUCAACAAAUAAAUAGAAACGAGCGUAAAAGGACAAAAGGCCUACUACGACCGAAAAGCCUCCCAUCACAAAUAUCAAAUAGGCGACAAAGUCCUACAUUUUAACUUUACCAAGACAGUAGAAGUCUCAAAGUUCCUACCACAUUGGUCAGGACCUCUCGAUUGUAGGAAAACCGUUCCCCGUCGCGUAUCGCAUUAGGACAUCCAGGCCUAAUCAAACGCCCUCAUAUCGAUUUCCAUAACAAUCAAAUCAAGCCUUUUGAACAGUUUCACUCCAAAAAGGGGGGGACGAUAGCUAGGCCCAUCCUGUCCACCCAGCUUGUACGCCUCACUCAUCACAAGCGUACACUGACAUUCCCAGUCACAUUCACCAAACACUAAUACUUCUUUUCUUCCUUCAUUCCUUCUCUUUUCUUGUUUUUUUUUUUUUUUAUGCGUAGGGAAUGAAAUAUACAUGUUUCAUGUUUAAUGUUUCUUUAUAGAUGUGAUUUUGACCUAGUUAGAGUAAUUAUAUGCCCAAAUGCCUCUGCCUCCAACUGUCUUACUGGAACUCAUGAGUUUACACAGUUUUCACAGGACACCAUGGACUGUGCAGAGCAAAGCCACCUCAAGGACUACGGACAUGUGGACUGUACGGUACUGUGCUCUCAGUGCUACGACUACAUCAUACCCCUGAGACCAAAAGGGGGAAUGUAGGUACAGUCCCUUUAAGAACUACAUUUCCCAUCAGCCAACUUCCGCGUUGACCUGGGCAGGAUCACCUAAGUCACUUCCUCCCUGAGCUCAUAAGUAACUGAGCAACGCUUCCUCUUCCCGUCUUGGACUUCAAGCCGUCCGGACACAGAGAUACUCACCCGAGCAAACCAGAUAAAGACGUUUUUUCUUUUCUUUCUUGCAAGAUCCAUGAUUUAGCGCGAUUUCUUUGUUUACCACUGGCCCCGGUAAAAAUCCAGAAUCGCGCGACUUUAAACUCCGAUAGAGUUACAACCGGUUUUGUUUGUAUAUUAUCAGUAACGUUACGUACGACUGCAGCCCGAGCAGUUAAUUUAAAGAGUUAGAAGCGACUGGAUCCUUCUAAUUAAAGCGCUGUGCACAUUAUUCUGAUCAGAGACUCUCUUCAUCACGAGCGACCACGCGUCGGACCAAGAAAUCCUCUGCUUUCUACAGAAGCGACUCACGUGCUCCACAACGGUGAAACUCCAAAAGUCUCGGAACAUCUUCUCAUAAUCUCGCGUAGAGACGAGAUACUGAAGUAAGACGCAUUUGGGCAUAAAACUAGUCUUAGGAAUUAGCUUUAUUGAAGUAGUGUGAAUUUAAACUCAGGAACGGUUUAAUUGUUUACACUGUAGACACGCAGCGUGUCAAAUGGAUGAUUGUUCUAUUUUGUUUUAAUCUCUCAAUUGUUUAAUAGAUAGGCUGUGCAUGCGUCUCAAUUUCCUUAUUACACAUUUUGACCUCAUCAAGAUUUCAGUGGAUGUAGUAGUGUUAUGAGCUAGUGGGUUAGCUACCGGCUAGUCCUUUGUUACUUAGAAACACGUGGCCACAGGCCUCACAACACACCUUAGCUAAACACACUGCUAAUUCCUUUGUCUUGCUAGCAAGCUAGGCUAACCUUUUACUUAGGCCACAGGCCACACACACACCUUAGCUAGCAAUCCAUGCUAACUUUUUGUUCAGGCCACACACAGGCUAACUCUUUGUCAGGCCACGUGGACAAACACACCUUAGCUAGCAAUCCAUGCUAACUCUUUUGUUCAGGCCACACACACAGGCCUCACAAACACAUCUUAGCUAGCAUUCCUUUGUCUUAGCUAGCAACACAAGGCUAAUCUGUGUCUCCACACGUGGCCAACACAUCUCAAUUAGUGACCAAAGCUAACUCUCUUGCUGUACUUAGAAACACAUGGUCAUAAAGCCUCUCACACACUCACACACACACAUAUACCAUAUCAUAUUUGUAUAUAAUGAUUCUAACUGAUAUUAUCCAUUUUUAUCUUUGUUAUAAUAAAUUCAUUUAUUAUUGAAACUGUGUGUUUGUGUUCCGAUAUUUUUGAAGUCGGCCAACCUCAAAGAAUUCCAAGGUGCAUAUGAGUUGUGUAAUACGGUUCUUCCACAGCCUCCAGGACGUCAGGAUCUCGCCA